UGAACGCUGGCGGCGUGCUUAACACAUGCAAGUCGAACGAGAAAGGGAUUGCUUGCAAUCCUGAGUAGAGUGGCGCACGGGUGAGUAACACGUAGAUAAUCUGCCUUCAAGCCUGGGAUAACUAUUCGAAAGGGUAGCUAAUACCGGAUAAAGUCGAUUCACAUAAGUAAAUUGAUGAAAGAUUGCCUCUUCUUGAAAGCAAUUGUUUGGGGAUGAGUUUGCGUACCAUUAGCUUGUUGGUGGGGUAAAGGCCUACCAAGGCAACGAUGGUUAGCUGGUCUGAGAGGAUGGUCAGCCACACUGGAACUGGAACACGGUCCAGACUCCUACGGGAGGCAGCAGUGAGGAAUUUUGCGCAAUGGGGGCAACCCUGACGCAGCAACGCCGCGUGAGUGAAGAAGGCCUUUGGGUCGUAAAGCUCUGUCAACAAGGAAGAAAUUACAAUUAUUUAAUAGAUAAUUGUAUUGACGGUACUUGUGGAGGAAGCGCCGGCUAACUCCGUGCCAGCAGCCGCGGUAACACGGGGGGCGCAAGCGUUAUUCGGAAUUAUUGGGCGUAAAGGGCGCGCAGGCGGUCUUGUCCGCCAGGUGUGAAAGCUCGGGGCUCAACCCCGGAAGUGCACUUGAAACAGCAAGACUUGAAUACGGG
rnacentral:rRNA from 1 species